UCUGGCAAGAAAUGAUACAGAACUGGCAAGAGGAACCCUCAGAGAUAUACAACAUUACACUGUGGAAUUGGUUCUACAGGACACAGGGUGCCUGAUUGCCAAACCAUUUGAAGUUUGCAUAGCAGAAAAUCUAUCUGUCUUCUGAGGAAAAGUGGAGCAUUGUUUAGCAAUGAUAACAGAAAAAUCUGAAGAUAAAAAUAUUACACACCUUGACUGACUUCUUCUAUUUGUUAGGCACUAGAAGCACUUUUUACCAUCAACAACCAGCAAAGGGUGCAAAGAAGAAUUGUUUACAGAGACUAGCCUUUUGCAAUAGAACACUGGACCAAGUUCAAAAAUAUUUCCUCAGAUAAAUGUGGUGGUUUAGUUCAGCCCUUAAUGGGAAUCAAUGGACAUCUGCAGAGAGCAUCUUUCUUCGUUGAAGUAGAACCAGCCCAAAAGGAGUGAUGACAUUUUGUUGGAAAGCUGAAAUGCUGUG